CCUCAUUCGGUGAUCUUUGUGCACUGUGACAUCCGGUGAAUCACUCAUCACUCUGGCGAACCGAUGAUGGAGGACCGGCAGUUCACUUUCAAGACAUCCCUGGUAAAUGUACCCAAAGUCACGUUUUUUGACGUUCAGACUUACCGAACAACACUCCAUAACAGCCCGCUCCAAACUGGACAAGGGAUAGUUUAUUUUUCGAGUAAUUUAUCGACUACGAAGGGAUGUAGCCUUUUAAAUCAAGUGGUCCCUGGAAGUUGGUCAUCACACAGCAGACGGUCCACAGCUGGUUGACUGUCCCAGACAAGGUGAGAGGACAGUGCGUUCCCAGAUGCGGUAUUCCUCGACUCUGCGUAUUGCUCUUUCCACGAGGAUUCGAAGUCGGGUCGAUUGCUUGUGUUUUCAGAGAAUCCUCUUUGAUGAACUGCGCAGUGGUUAGAGAGAAGUUAAUUAGUAUUAUUAUUGUGAGUGCUUCAGUCCAUCUUAAACAUUUGUCUACAUAUCUUAAUGGUCACAUUUGGGUCACAGUUUUAAUUUGAAAUGUUCAUUCCUUUCAUGCCUACCUGUCAUCUUGAAGGGUGGUAUAAUCAGCGUUGCCCCACGAUCAGCUAGUGGCUUCUCGAUGGUGAAACCCUUGUCUGCCAUGCAGCCAUCUCCUGGCUCCAGUAAAUCCAGCAGUCCACUUCGUUCAGUCAGCUCUCGGUCAGAGAUGGAGCCGGUGAAGAGACUUGAACCAAAAGUCACAGCACUACAAGGGGCAAUCCCAAUCAAGGCCUUUAAGGUUGUCGUGUUCUUGUAAAAUGAGAAAAACCUCAGACUGGAGGGUGAGGGAUGAUGGAUUCUGGCAUCGCACCUCGGUGCAGUCGAUGAUUACCCGAACAUCUCGACUGUACUGCACAAAUUUGCUUGGCAUGGUGUUCUCGACAAGGAGCAGGUAACGGUAGUUGGCCCACAUUAUAACAACACGGGAGACAGUGGAAACACUGACCUGAAACAUGUCAGCCAGCACCUUCUCUUGCAGGCCUGCAGAAACCCGGCAGCAGAAGACAAAAAACAACCAGUUGCAUUCUAAGCGUUGGACUGGGAGAAAUUAAAAUGUUUGUUUCUUUUUCUGAGCUUUUGACCAAUAAACCAACAUGAAGGCAGAUGGUUGAAUAGCCUCCCAGAAGACACUAAAAUCAUCUCUUAAUUUGAAUCUGGUGUAAAAAAGGAUGUCCUUGUUAGAGACACAAAAUCUGUGAAAAGGCACUUGACCCACUUUCAGCUGUGACAGCUCUCGUCAGCCCCUUGACUGUUUCUUCCAAUUGCUGUAUGCGUGCAGCAGCAGCAUCCAGUAUACCUGUAUGAGAUGAGAUUUUUUUUUUUUUUUUAAUCUGACCCAGAUUUUGGCUGUGACUUGCAUAUUGGAAGUAGUUUGGACCUCUAAAGAAAUGGCUUUUUAUAGCUCAAUAUUGCUUUUAAAAUUUGCUUUUAUAGCUCAAUAUUCACCUUUACAUUUAAUUGUAAGACAUAAAAUGCAACAUUUGUACUUGCGAUGAAGCUUUUCACAUUGUGGUAUUGGUCAAAUGCUGGGACAUCAAUAAGACUAAACAUUUUGUGCCCGAGUUCUGAAAAGUUGACCUAUCUCCUCGGUAUAACCUACUAAGAGCCCAUUCCGUGAUUAAACCAUAGGUAGCACAUCCGGUCAGGUAGGUGGUUUAAGAACAGUAUGGGGUUCUAGAAGGCCAAUAUUUCAGAACACUAACAAACACACUGACAAACCUGCUUUAGGAGCAGAACCGAAAUCAUGUUCUGUCAUCACCACCGAAGCUGCGAUCUCCUCCGUCGGCUCUUAUUCACACGGCAGCGGUUGCUCCAGAGGAAGGGCUGGGUGAACGUCAUGGCCUAAGCGAGUUGAUGCUCUUUUAUAAACGGACUCCCUUCUUGGCAGUCCCCAGUUGUUCCACUGGAAACGGGAGGGUACAGACCCGAUUUAGAGUCGCUGGAUGUGACCCCGGUUGGUUGCUAGCCUGCUAGCUGUAGCGUUAGUGUAGUCUGAUUCACUAAAGUGCCGGCUACAAACAAACGUGCUACCUUGUUUGAUUUUAAAGUUUGGCCCUUCAUCCCGGCAAACCGCUUGAAUCCACUUCUUCCUUAGAGUCAAUUCAGUCGGGAAUCCAUGAAAACUUAAGUAGGGUUGGCGUUGUUUGUUAGAUGUACAAAGUGGAACAGAGCAGUGACAUCUAGCCUUUGUUUCAGCCAUUGUUGAACUGCGCCGGAAGUGUUAAUGCAAAAUGAAAACAAAUCCCGCCCGGAAGCGUGAUAAUCCC
ensembl:lncRNA